UUGUUGCACGUCUGAUUUCCAUGAAUAAUUGUCAAAGUUAGUAAAAUUUUCAGUAUAAAUGGAGAAAUAUCUUGUUCAAAGUAUCAUUCCCAGCCUUAACCUCCUGAAAGAUGCAUAAGACGCUUUUAAUAUUAUUAAUUGGCUUUAUCGCUAUUCAACAAAUCAUGGCCAAACCAUUUUUCUGGCUAGCUUUGGCUAGGGCUAAUGCUGCACAAAAUAUGGUAGGUGUGCCGCCCUUAGGAUUCACUGGAAUACCGUUUUGGAAUGGCGGCGACGUGACAAUUCGACAGACUAUCGGCCCAGGAUUGAUCGAUCAAAACAUCCACGUAUCGUAAAGUGUAUACUCAAAGUUGACGAAAUAAAAAUGGAGAGCCCGCGUAAAAGGGGACGGUU